rnacentral:lncRNA from 1 species
UGAAGGUGGAUUGAUAAUUUUCUUUCUUUUUAAAAAAAUGUUCUUUUUUCUUUUUUUUUUAGCAGCAAAAGAAUAUUGGAUGCAAUGAGAAACCGGCAAAACCAGAAGACAACAAGUAACAGAAUUGCAAAAGUGCACAUCAUUGUAGUUGUUUCCAAUAAAUAAUUGGGUAUUUCAUCUUACAAUGACAUAGAAUAUCAAAUUUUCUUCUUUUUGCAUAUAACUGCUGAUUUAAAAAGAAAACAUGCUUUGCUUUCUUCUUUCACAUACACAGAGCGAUGUCCUUAGUAUAAUAUAGUUUCUCUUUUUCUAGAAUAUUGACGAACUUCCUUGCAUCUAUAUAAAACUAUGUGCAUAGAUGCAUGCAUGCAUCCAUGCAAAUUUAUUGUCUCCCACGUUAUAUCUAUAAGUUUAUCUCAUAUAUUGUUUGGCUUGAACAAUUCUUUGCCCUGCAAAGUCCUCCUUGCACUUGGAUGAUGGAUCACCUCAGCAUCUCCCCAAUUAGGAGAAAACAAUCCUCAAAGCUUCACUAAAUCUUGUUUAUUGCUCACUUUGCUUGUCAAGAUUGGAUUUUAUUUUUGGGGCUCCUUUUGCAUUAGGAGUUUAGUGGUAGGAAGAGUAAUUGAGAGGUACCAUUGCAGUGGUAGGAGUAGCUUAUGUCAACUGAUAGCCACUCAAUCCCAAGCCCGAUUCUGAACAUACCACUCAUCAUCUUUACAUCAGCAUGAAGAUGAAUCUUACAUAUCCCCACUCUAUUAUAUACAGAUCUUCACGCUAUGUAGGUUGGAUUUUUCUCAUUUCCAUACCAUCUGGGUGUGAUUUUCUCCAUUCCAAUAUCACAAAUGCCAUCAAACUCUCUAGGAUCAAAGAAUUGAAGUUCAGAUCUUCAAUCUCUUCCUCGUCAGCCAUUAGAAGAAGAGAGAAAAUUAGAGUCUUCUUCUCCAUUAGAAAUGAUAAAAUUCUAGUCUUCUCUUGUUAGCAAAUUAAUCAAAAACUGUUUUUGCUAGAGACACCUAAGAAAAGAAGGGCUAGUUAAAUAAUUCUCUCUCCAAAACCCUACUUUGGAUUGAUCUUUCAGUAGUGAGGAAACCCUAUGGAUAACUUGGGCUUUUAGUAGAAAUAUUCUAUUGACAUAUUUUGAACAUGAAGAGCCCAAGAUUGAGCAAAAGACUUCUGGACAUCAAACAAGUAGAAUUAUAGGAAAAUAUAUGUCACUCAAGCAAUAACCUUUGAGACUUGGGUGGAUUUGUUUUAAUUCAACAAAGAAGAAACUGAGGGGAUGAGAAAGAACUACUUAAGAAAAAUGCAAAAUAGGACGGGUUUAAAACUCUAAGAAGCCUUGGGAUGUGAGGGAGAU